AGCAGUGGGGAAUUUUCCGCAAUGGGCGAAAGCCUGACGGAGCAAUACCGCGUGAGGGAGGAAGGCUCUUGGGUUGUAAACCUCUUUUCUCAGGGAAGAACACAAUGACGGUACCUGAGGAAUCAGCAUCGGCUAACUCCGUGCCAGCAGCCGCGGUAAUACGGAGGAUGCAAGCGUUAUCCGGAAUGAUUGGGCGUAAAGCGUCCGCAGGUGGCAAUGUAAGUCUGCUGUUAAAGAGUGAGGCUCAACCUCAUAAAAGCAGUGGAAACUACAUAGCUAGAGUGCGUUCGGGGCAGAGGGAAUUCCUGGUGUAGCGGUGAAAUGCGUAGAUAUCAGGAAGAACACCGGCGGCGAA
rnacentral:rRNA from 1 species